GACAGAGGGUGCAAACGUUGUUCGGAAUUACUGGGCGUAAAGGGCUCGUAGGUGGCCAACUAAGUCAGACGUGAAAUCCCUCGGCUUAACCGGGGAACUGCGUCUGAUGACUGGAUGGCUUUGAGUUUGGGGAGAGGGACGCGGAAUUCCAGGUGUAGCGGUGAAAUGCGUAGAUAUCAGGAAGAACACCCGUGGCUAAGGCGGUUCUCUAGUACGGUACUGACGCUGAGACGCGAAAGCGUGGGGGAGCGAACAGG
rnacentral:rRNA from 1 species